AGCCUCGAGGUGUUUAACAUGUUGAAUUGCAAAUUCGAAGAAGCAGCUACAGCUGCCGGGGCUU